rnacentral:tRNA from 1 species
UCCGAUAUGGUGUAACGGCUAACAUUGCCGCCUUUCAGAGUGAACGCGGCAGCUCGGGGUUCGAUUCCCCGUGUCGGAA